AGCUCCAAUAGCGUAUAUUAAAGUUGUUGCAGUUAAAAAGCUCGUAGUUGGAUUUGUGGUUGAGGUGGCCGGCCCUCACUAUGUGUGGUGCUUGGCUGUCCUCGUCCAUCCUUGGGUGGAACUGGUGUGGCAUUAAGUUGUCGUGUCAGGGAUGCCCAUCAUUUACUGUGAAAAAAUUAGAGUGUUCAAAGCAGGCUUACGCCGCUGAAUAUAUUAGCAUGGAAUAAUGAGAUAGGACCUUGGUACUAUUUUGUUGGUUUGCGCACCGAGGUAAUGAUUAAUAGGGACAGUUGGGGGUAUUCGUAUUCCAUUGUCAGAGGUGAAAUUCUUGGAUUUCUGGAAGACGAACUACUGCGAAAGCAUUUACCAAGGAUGUUUUCAUUAAUCAAGAACGAAAGUA
rnacentral:rRNA from 1 species